UGAGGAAUAUUGGGCAAUGCCCGCAAGGGUGACCCAGCAACGCCGCGUGGAGGAUGAAUGUCGUAAGAUUGCAAACUCCUGUUAGAGGGGAAGAAUAGUACCGGUUGGACCGGUAUAUGACUGUACCCUCAGAGAAAGCCCCGGCUAACUACGUGCCAGCAGCCGCGGUGAUACGUAGGGGGCAAGCGUUGUCCGGAUUUACUGGGUGUAAAGGGCGCGCAGGCGGGAUAAAAAGCCAGUGGUGAAAUCCUACAGCUCAACUGUAGAACUGCCUUUGAUACUUUUAUGCUUGAGUUCGGGAGAGAGAGACGGAAUUCCAGGUGUAGUGGUGAAAUACGUAGAUAUCUGGAAGAACACCAGUUGCGAAGGCGGUCUCUUGGUCCGACACUGACGCUGAGGCGCGAAAGCGUGGGGAGCAAACA
rnacentral:rRNA from 1 species